GGGAUGUGGUCCUCCUGCAGAUCCAGACGUUUCAUCCAUCGUCCUCCCUGGUAACGGCUUUCAAAUCCAAAACCUCCUGAAAUUCCUGCUGCUCUCAGUCUGCUGUAGGAGUAGGAGGUACUUUUUUCUAAAAAGUGGAUAAAAAAAGGGAAAAAAAUCUCUCCAAAGUGAUGUCAUUAGUUACACUGACACUGUAAUGGAAAGCUAGAUAACCAAAGAAGAAUUAAAGAGAUUGCACAAACGUCUGGAUUAUUUAUGACUCUACUUAAAAGCAGAAAUUUGAUCCUUAAACUUUUCAGAAACAUUCCUGUUUUCUUUCAAAAGAAGUUUUACAGCUCUGUCGGCUAAAAAUAAUCCCAACUCUGCAGAUUUACACCGUGUUUUUACAUGAAUAUGCAAACCAGUAAAGGCACAUGAUGAAUAAACUAAUCAAUACAUUUCAAAAAGGAGGGACAUUUGGCCAUAACGGAAGAACAUCUUGAAAACUGAGACAUGAUUAUGAAAUAAAAAGGUCAAAUGGUGAGAUAAAACUGUAAAUCAUCAGAAGGAAACUCGCAGUUAUUAAUGAAAUGGUCAUAAUCUGAGGAGUUGAAAUAAUGAAACAAAUGUUGGAAUUCUACAGUUAAAAAUACGAAUAAUGAGACAGUUAACGUUUAGGACUUUGAUUAUAAUUCGUACUCUCAGAAAAUCAAAAUUAUGGGGCAUAGAAGUCAUAACUGUAACUGUCUGUCUCAUAAAUUUGCCUUUUUACCUCUUUUAUCUCAUAACUAUAACUUAUGGUCUCAUAAAAUACUGCCUUAAAUAGUCCUGAUCGAGUGUUAAGAGGUGAGGGUUGGACCAUAACUCUGUCUCUUUACCACAACAUUACCUGUAGACUCGUCUGAUCCAUUUGACCCUCACUGUGUUACUGAGACGCUGAGAUACCUGAGCUCCUUCACCUGAUUUAAAAAAAAAAAAAAACUCUGAAACUCUCCUCUUUUUUAUCUUCACACAUGGAAAACUCUAAAUCUGGGAACAUAAAGUUUACAGUAAAAAUCCUCAGUGUGUUUAUUCUGCCUUCUGAUUUCUGUCUAAAUUUAGCAUCAACUCUUUUUAGCUUUAGUCAGAAAAAUUUAUUUAUGUUAAUGAUUGUUUUUCCAUUGUGGUCUUCCAGAUGCACUUUUAUUUUGGAGGAGAUUUCUUCUUCCUGGCGGGAGGCCGGUGGCUCAGUCCUGUCCUGAGAGUCUCUUUGCUCCUGGCCCUGAGUUCAGGCCACAUUUCCACCAUCAUUCCUCCUCCUCCUCCUCUUCCUUGGUCACAGAGCCACAAACACUGAGAGUCUGUUGAGCUCUUUUAGAGGUCCAGCUUCGUUUUCACCCCAGGUACAGAGACUCUUUUCUGGAGUUUAAAUAUAUAAAGUAAUGAAUCAGAUUUUAGACUGAGCAGCUUUAGAAACACACGUACACCAAACGGAGACGACUCGUGUCUCUCUAACAGCGUUAAUGACCAUCUCUGUUCCCGUUAAUGACUGUGUCUGUUCACUGUGAUACCCUGAGAGGUGGCAGAUUGCUGCGGUGAAAGCUCGGCC